AGACAGGAGAGAUCGGAGGGAAGAAAUUAAUUAAUGGCGUCUUGGGUUCGCACUAUCACAUCCCCAUUCAGAAAAGCUUGCACCUUCUUCAACAACAAUGGCAGAGAUAAGAAGUCCAAACCAGGGCAUGGGCAUGGGCAUGGGCAUGAUAACCGGGUCAUGGAUUUGCAAGGUGAAGUGAUGGCAUGUACUUACGAGGAUGUUCAGGUGAUGUGGUCCAUCCUCGACAACUCCAAGCAGCCCAGAGUCUGCAAAGUGGUUUCUUGAUCUUCUUUAUC